rnacentral:rRNA from 1 species
UUUAAGGUUUAAUCUGCUCAAUGAUUAUUUAAAUUGCCGCAGUAUUUUGACUGUGCAAAGGUAGCAUAAUAAUUAGUUUCUUUAUUGGGAACUGGAAUGAAUGAUUGGACGAGAAAAUUUCUGUCUCUUUAUUAUUUUAAUUGAAUUUUACUUUUAAGUUAAAAGGCUUAAAUUUUAUUAGAGGACGAGAAGACCCUAUAGAGUUUAAUUUUUAUUUAAAUAAUUAUUUUUAGUAUUUAUAUAUAUUAUUUAAAUAAAAAUUUAGUUGGGGUGACUAAAAGAUAAGAAUAACUCUUUUAAUUUUUAUCAAUUAUUUUUGAUUAUAAAAUCUUUAUUUUUAAUUUUAAAAUAAAUUACCUUAGGGAUAACAGCGUAAUUCUUUUUUAAAGUUCUUAUUAAAAGAAGAGUUUGCGACCUCGAUGUUGGAUUAAAAUUAAUUUUAGGUGUAGAAGCUUGAAANNNNAGUCUGUUCGACUUUUAAAAUUUUACAUGAUCUGAG